GUUCCAGUGGCCUAGUGGUUAGAGCGUCCACCUCUGAUGCUGGUGGUCGUGGGUUCGAUCCCAGACCAAGUCACACCAAAGACU